rnacentral:tRNA from 1 species
AAUUUCUUGGCAGAUUAUUGCAGAAGAAUUAGAAUCUUCAUAACCUUUCAUCUCUCUUGUUAAUCU